AGAGUUUGAUUAUGGCUCAGGAUGAACGCUAGCGACAGGCUUAACACAUGCAAGUCGAGGGGCAGCAUAAAAGUAGCAAUACUUGGUGGCGACCGGCGCACGGGUGAGUAACGCGUAUGCAACCUACCUAUCAGAGGGGAAUAACCCGGCGAAAGUCGGACUAAUACCGCAUAAAACAGGGGCACCGCAUGGUGAUAUUUGUUAAAGAAAUUCGCUGAUAGAUGGGCAUGCGUUCCAUUAGGUAGUUGGUGAGGUAACGGCUCACCAAGCCGACGAUGGAUAGGGGAACUGAGAGGUUGGUCCCCCACACUGGUACUGAGACACGGACCAGACUCCUACGGGAGGCAGCAGUGAGGAAUAUUGGUCAAUGGGCGGGAGCCUGAACCAGCCAAGUCGCCGUGAAGGAAGAAGGAUCUAUGGUUCGUAAACUUCUUUUGCAGGGGAAUAAAGUGCAGGACGUGUCCUGUUUUGUAUGUACCCUGAGAAUAAGGAUCGGCUAACUCCGUGCCAGCCGCCGC
rnacentral:rRNA from 1 species